rnacentral:rRNA from 1 species
AGCAGCCGCGGUAAUUCCAGCUCCAAUAGCGUAUAUUAAAGUUGCUGCAGUUAAAAAGCUCGUAGUUGAAUUUCGGGACUAAUAUGUCGGUCGUGCCUCGGUACGUACUGGUAUUUUUGGUUUCUCCCUUCUGACGAACCUUGAUGUCAUUAAUUUGGUGUCUUGGGAAAUCAGGACUGUUACUUUGAAAAAAUUAGAGUGUUUAAAGCAGGCUCACGCUUGAAUACAUUAGCAUGGAAUAAUGAAAUAGGACGUUUGAUUCUAUUUUGUUGGUUUCUAGGAUCGACGUAACGACUAAUAGGGAUAGUUGGGGGCAUUAGUAUUCAAUUGUCAGAGGUGAAAUUCUUGGAUUUAUUGAAGACUAACUACUGCGAAAGCAUUUGCCAAGGAUGUUUUCAUUAAUCAAGAACGAAAGUUAGGGGAAUCGAAGACGAUCAGAUACCGUCGUAGUCUUAACCAUAAACCUAUGACCGACUAGGGAUCGGGAUGAUGUUUAAUUUUUUAAUGUACUCAUUUCGGCGUCCUUAACGGAAACCAAAGGUUGGUUUUA